GUUUUUUUCUCUUGAACAUAGAAGGAAAAUAUGUAUUUUUUUUUAAACACGAUCAAUGUCACAGUGAUGCAGAUAUUGAUAUAGGGAAUGGAAAUAUCAAUUUUUUUAAAUUAGGAGGCAUGUCAUUGUACUGCAUGUAAAGAUAUUUGUCAAAGAUCUUGGGCAAAAUACUAAUUCAAGAUCUUGCUGUCCUUUUAUUCAGCUAUUCUUUAGACCCAUCAAUUAUUGGUUUUGUAGUGCCGCAUUGAUCAGUGCUUUCCUGUCCUCUUUUUCAUUUUGUAUUGUAAUCUCUCCUUUUUGAGUUUACUCUUACCCUAUAUGUUUUUUUUCAUUACUAUCCCCAUUCUCCCUUUAUACUUUUUGAUUCCUAGUGGCUUUUUUUCUUCCUCAACCUCCACCUUGUAAUUUAGAGUUUUAUAUUUCUAUUUGUGUCUUUUGGGGUUAUUUUUUGUGAUCAGGAGCGCUAAUGAAUUUAAAGCAACACAAUAGUGUAUACUAUACCUAUCCGUAGUUAUUUAUAGGGCCCCCUUAUGUGCAGUAUAAUAUAAAAUAAAAACAUGUUACUUAUCUUUCUCUGGUGUCAUGACUGCCUCAGUGUUGCCGCCCGCUCCUCCCGAUGAGUUGUCGUCAUCCGGAAGGCAUACCUCCUGGAUGAUGGUCCAGUCCAAUGACCCUCAUAUCGGAACAUUGGGGACUGUAUGAUUUAAUGUAAUGAUUCUCUAUGACAAGCAUGUCAUCAUGGUUUGUCUGGGUAUGAGAUGCAGGAACUUACAUUCCUAGCUCUCCUAGACAAAGGGCUUGGCGGCUUGACUUAUAGCCGCACUUCAAAGCCUUCAAAUUACUUAUGUACUACAUUUUGGAGGAGUAGUCAAGUGGGGAACAACAUUAGCACUAUAGCAACUUCAAUUAGAUUAAGUUGUUAUAGUAAUUACAGAGCUUGUGAGGAAGGCUGAACUUGAUGGACGCAAGUCUCUUUUCAGCUAUGUAACUAUGUAACUAUGUAACUUUAACGCUUUAACGCUUAGUAAGCAUAUUUUCUCAGUUGUCCCAGGUUAGGCAGUUCCCAAGCUCUAAGUUAAUUUCACUACUUUCUCACCUUUGGAUCUUUGUUGCUUUGAUGUAUGCCAGCACUCUGUGUCUUUUUGACCACAAUACUUUAAAUCACUUUGUCUGUAAAUCAUUUGUCUACCUGUCCUCUGUUGCAUUAGAGCAUAAUUCAAUAUGCAUUUGAAUAUAUGUGGCUAUCUGUACAUUUUAAC